UCUGUGAUCACUUAUUUCCUGAUUAAGGUCAAGUCGGGCAUAAUAUUGUGUUUCUUGUUGAGACUUUAGAACUAAUGCAGUUAUAUUUAGUCGUUUAGUUAAAUGCAAACAAGUCUGUAAAACUAUCCUAAAGCUUCACCUAACAAGCGUUUGUGUUUAGAAACUGAAUGUAGAAAUUGUGUUUUGAUAUGGGUCAGUAUGACUCACCGAUUUUUUUUGUUUCUUUCAAUGUAUCACGAGGAAGUCGAAGUGUUGUAACAUUGGGGUGUUGAAAUUCAUUGUAAUUGGCACUUUUAUUGUGUUACGUUUUCGGAAACAGAGUUGUAAACGUGCUGCUUGACACCAGUUCAUGUUGUGGAGAUCAUAUUAGAAUUUUUACUGCAAAAGCAUUGUGUGUGUGUGUGUGUUAGCAUUGGGCACUAAAAUUCGGUUCCAAGUAGAAACCAUAGAACCGGAACUGAAAGAACUUGGUGCAUUCGGUUCCUCAUUUUGGUGCUGAGUUUCAUUUUUUUCCCCUUCUUUUUCUGUUCUUUAACUUGUCUAGUCCAACAUGAGGCCGGCACCUAAGAGACACCGAGGGCCUAAGCAUGUCCAUCGAGCUCAAGGAUAAUAACGUGAAAGCAUGUUUACCUUUGGAGUUUACUCAGGAGCAGUAUGACACAGAAGACAGAAAGUUGGUUGUAGCUUUGUCAGUCACUCUUGGUCUGUUUGCUGUCGAGCUGGCAGGCUUCUUUUCAGGAGUCUCCAUGUUCAAUUCCAGCCAAGGUCUUCUGUCAUUAGCUGUC